GACCCAUUAGCUCAGUAGGCAGAGCACCUGACUUUUAAUCAGGGUGUCCGGCGUUCGAGUCGCCGAUGGGUCACCA
rnacentral:tRNA from 1 species